rnacentral:rRNA from 1 species
AACGAACGCUGGCGGCAUGCCUAACACAUGCAAGUCGAACGAAAACUUCGGGCCUAGUGGCGCACGGGGGCGUACCACGUGGGAACCAACCCGUAGGUUCGGAAUAACUGCCCGAAGGGGAUGCUAAUACAGGUUAAUGUAAUCGGACAAAAGAUCUAUCGCGUUUGGAUGGGCGCGGGUUGGUUUGGCUAGUUGGUAGGGUAAAAGCAUACCAUGGCCAGGAUCCAUGGCUGGUCGGGGAGGAGGAUCGGCCACACUGGAGCUGCGACACGGGCUAGACUCCUACGGGAGGGAGGAGUGGGGAAUAUUGGGGAAUGGGCGAUAGCGUGAUACAGCAAUGCCGGGUGAGUGAUGAAGGCGUUAGGGUUGUAAAGCCGUUUGUCCCGGGAUGAUAAUGACAGUACCGGGUGAAUAAGCACCGGCUAACUCCGUG